CUAUCAUUCUAUAAGGUCUGUGCCCCAUACAGUAUUACUCUUAAGUACAACUACCUCUACAGAGAAGGCCCCAAAUAAACUAGUUAAAUUGACUAGUUAAUGGAGAAUUCAUGCUACAGUCAACACUCCUUGUGUCAUCAACAUAUGUACAAUUGGAGAGAUGGAAUAGUCUGUGAUUAGACUGAAAGAAAGGGGCAUGAUCUAGAUCCCUAGAGUAGACCCACUCAGACUUUGACUCAUGUUUUCAUGGCCUGGGGUUAGUCGCCUGGUCCCCUGGCCUUGGAAAACUAAUGAAUAGUCAUUUUGUCUUUCAUAAUUGCCUAGAAACCACUUGACUGAUGCAUCUUGUACUGAGUCUAAAAUGCAUAACCAUUGUCAUGUCAGAUCACUCAACAACUCAUCUGAUAACAAAAGGAAUAAGAGGUACUAAUUUGUCCAAAUACAAAGAAUGUUCUCUAGACAGCCUCCCAACAGGCAGAAUCUCAGUAAUGGUGAAAAAACCUCAAUAUCAUGGAUUAAUUACCUGUGGUCUAACUUCAUCUGCUGUUGGCCAAAAGUGAGAAUUACAAGAAAAACAUAUCCAAAAGCCAUCAGCUUGCACUAACAGCGAGACCAUGAUGUUCUACUGGAGAUAAACAAUUUCACAGAACACCGACAUCAGAUGAAUUCAAUGUGGGACCAUGAUAGAGUAGGAAAAAAGUCAAAUCCCUUGGAAAUUAUAUCUUAGUACAAACAUAAGAAUACUGGAAUUACUAUAAAAACAAUCCAAUUUCUUCCUCUUUCAGCUCACAUGAGUGGCCAUUGCCUUUUUGCCAAUUACAUCUUCAGUUCCAUUCCAUUUCUCCCACUUCCAGGUAAAAUAUUAAGUUGUCCAUGCAUAGAUUUAAUUUUACUUCCUGAGAGUAUCCAACCUAGGAGAGUACCCUGCUUCUUCAAACACCCCCCAAAAUCACCUAACAGGCUUAAAUCCUGAAAUGCUUCCUGAUUUCCUCAUGGUGUGUGGUCUCCUUUGUUGCAGCAAGUAACACAGGCAAAUUUGUUCCACUGCAGAUGUAUUCCUUCGCAGUUUUGAUUGACAGGCAAUGAUACCACCAACAGCUACACUGAGACAUUUGAUCCAAAAAUGAUCAAAAGCCAGUGAAUACAGAAAAAAAGUGAGAAACAGCAAUAAUAAUUUUCACACACCAGACAUGUGCCAGAAGGUAUUUUCACAUUUGCCUUUAUCUCACACAUCAAUUCUAUGAAAGCGUUCUCAUUAGAGUAAUUUUAUAGCUCAACACAUUAAGCUCAGAGAGUAUAAAAGGCUUGCUCAAGGUAAUUUUCAUAUCACAUCUACAUUUGCAUAUAUUGUAUAGCAUUUUUAGCUAUGAAAUGCUAAGGCUAAAAUUCAAUUUUAGGUUUCCCCAGCUCUCAAAUCUUUCCCUCUAUAACAUGAUACCUCCAAAUACUAUUACAUUGUUUUAAUCAGAUUCAAGAACAAAUUCUUCUGACUAUGUUCAUGACAGCUUCAACAAAAAUCCAAGAGACCUGUUAAAUUUACUGAUGGAAUUCUGGAGGGUAAGAGUGACAGCUGUUGGUAAGAGGAAAUACGGUGCUAAAGAGAAGUGUUUGGGGGUCAGAGGAAAUUGAGGAACUAUAUUGGGAGAUGGAUAAAGGAAAGAGGAGCAGCCUGGAGCCAUGAAAGGAGAACUAAACUUCCUCCUGCAUUAGAUGAUGUAUUAAGGAUUAAAACUGAUGGGUCAUGGAAAUAGCUGUAUUUCUUUUUUUUUUUUUUUCUUGAGACUGAGUCUUGCUCUAUGGCCCAGGCUGGAGUGCAGUGGCAUGAUGUUGGCUCACUGCAACCUCCAUCUCUCAAGUUGAAGUGAUUCUCGUGCCUCAGCCUCUCAAGUAGCUGGGAUUACAGGUGCCUACGACCACACCUGGCUAAUUUUUCUAUUUUUAGUAGAGACGAGGUGUCACCAUGUUGGCCAGGCUGGUCUUUAACUCCUGACAUCAGGUGAUCCACUUGCCUCGGCCUCCCAAAGUGCGGGAUCACAGGUAUGAGCCACCACGUCUGGCCCCUUUCCCAUAUUUCAAUCCAAUAAUCCUGAUUCUGGAAAUUUAUCCUAAGUAAUAACUUAGCAAAUAAAAUAUACAUAUAUAUGUAGAAAUGUUCAUUGUAACAUAUAUUUGCAAAGAUUUGGAAAUAGCAUACACAUCCAACAAUAAGGAAAUAAAAUAGCACAUUUUAUGCUUUAUACCAUGCAAUAUUAUACAACAUAAAAAUAUAAUUGUGAAUAAUAUAUGAAUAGAAAAAUGCUUAAUUCCUAAGGUUCAAUUACACACAAAUCAGAAAACAAAUAAGCAGGAAAAAAUAAAAUAUAUGUGAGAGUCACACACAAAGCUGCUGGAGAAACCUUCCAUCUGCUCUAAGGAGUCAUUCCCUACCCUAAAGGGAGACAUCAGCCACCUGGACCAGAUGCUUAGCUGCCACAAGAGGACACCUGGAACCAGCCCCAAGAACUUUGCUUGAGGGCAUCUGAAAGAAAGAUCAGCCACCAUGGUCCUUCCCCGAGGUUACCAGGGCUCUGGGAGUUGCCUCUCCAACUGCUACUGAGAAGGGCCCACACCUUACAUGCUCAACUGCUAAAUAAUCUACAGCUUUCCUCUGAUGGCCCUCCUUCUUCAAAGGAAGGACCAAUUCCAUUAUACCACACAUCCCAUUUGCUUCAGUCCUCAGCAUAAUCAGAGACGUGCUUACCCCACACUGAUCUGAUCUGUAGUGCCCCAAUAGGACCUAAUCUCCUACUCUCUUCAUCCUCCCAAAUUAACCACCUCUCAUCAGCAAAAUCACUUUUAAUCUCCACCCAUACCAUAAAAGUUAUUUUUUUUUGAGAGGUCUCCUUCUGGUUGCCCAGGCUGGAGUGCAGUGGUGUGAUCUUGGCUGACUGCAACCUCUGCCUCCCAUAUCCAAGCAAUUCUCCUGCCUAGCCUCCCAAGUAGCUGGGAUUACAGGUGUGAACCACCAUUCCUGGCAAAUUUUUGUAUUUUUAGUAGAGAUGGGGUUUCACCAUGUUGGCCAGGCUGGUCUCAAACUCCUGAGCUCAGGUGAUACACCUGCCUUGGCCUCCCAAAGUACUGGGAUUACAGGCGUGUGCCACCACGUCCAGCUAGUUUUUG
rnacentral:lncRNA from 1 species